rnacentral:lncRNA from 1 species
GUGGCGGUGUGAUUUGUCCACGGCGUCUCCGUUUUGGGCUCCGGAGGAAGUGGGCCAUUUGGUGUUUUGUUGUGGGAGGCGUAUGGGUUAACCCUAGUUUUCUGUUCUGCGGAUUUGUGAUGUUGUGCCAAACACACAUAUCCGAUUUGCAUACAUUUAGAUUCGCGGUCCAAUGUGUGAUUUGUCUGUGUGGCAUUAUUUUGGUUGCCUGUGUGGCAUCAUUUGACUUGCCUGUGUGGCAAUGUGUAUUUCUGAGCUCAUUCGGUAUAAAAUAACUCCAGCCAUUUGUUUCAGCCUAUUAUUUUAUUGGAUUAGUUUUGUUGGUUUCUGUUCAGUUCAAGUCAUUGAGUUAGUUACUUCAAUUCGUUAUUUCUUUAUUCUUUUAUUGGUUUCGUCAAUUACGUUGAUUCAGAUAUAUUCAUUAC